UCCAUCCAUCUAUCUGCCAAUCUAUCAUAGACACGUGUUAAAAUAUUAAUAUUUACCUCACGUAGGCGCGUCCAAAUACAUCGAAAUAAAGCAAAAAAAAAAAAAAAAAAGUUAAAAAAGUAAAAAGAUAAUUUAAAAAAUAAAAUAAUUAUUGUCGGUCUUAAAGUACAUAAGAUGUCCGACCAAUGUAAAAAAUAAUAAUAAUAAUAACAUUUUAAAAAGUGGGUUUAUUUAUAUUACACAGUUGAUUGCUUCGCAGUGGGAAGGUCACUUUAAAAAAAUGAAAUUAAAUAUUUACCAAUGGUAAGAGUUCUGCGUUAAAAUCGUGCUCGUUACCCCUAAUCAUUUAAAGUAGUGGGUCAUGCUUGGAUUUCACCACUUGUUGACAGCAUUUUCAGCCGAUCGGAGCCUUUUCAAUGCUGCUUAAUUUCUCACGCUUUCGCACUGCUGGCAUGAGGCGCAGAAACAAGCAAACGAGACGCCGUCAUUCCGCGAAACAUUUGCGUACGGGUGGAAUCUAGGGAGUACUUGUUGCGAGCCAUACGGCGGUGGCAGCGUCCCGGAGCUGUCAAAUACUGCGCACAACCUUCAGUCCUCAGUCAGUGGAGUAACCAGACUAAUCCAUCAGACCAGCAGCUCAGAAGAUUAACCUUUUUUUUUUCUUCAUUGUAUUUUUCUUCUAUUUUAUUAUUUUUAUUUUUUAGCUUCGGAAAACUAGUUUUUGUCCGCGAAACCGGAAACCUGAUUUUAAAAUCACGAUCUUUUUUUCUCUCUUUUUUUGUCACAUGGCUUUGGAGAAUUCAAUAACAACAAAAAAUGGCGACAAUCACGUUGCUCUGUGUGGUCUUGCUGCGUCAUUAAAAAUAUUCAUGUAAACACGGGGCGUUAAACAGGGGGAUUGCAGUGCCCCUGUGCAGCGGGGCUAAUGGAGUUGUUUACAUGAAGUACAGAGGGCGGGCAGACGACGACGAGGAGGAGGAGCAGCUACGGCCAGCGACGCGACCGGACUGCUCGAGAGGCUUCUCGCGCGGCGCGCGCGGGUAAGGGAGGGGAAGGGGAGGAACCCGCGAGGAGAAUCAUAACAAGUCUGACAUCACUCGGCCUUGUGGCUGGUAUGAAUAGCCUGUGUACAGUAGGCAGUUUGUGUCGAAGAAGUCAUGGCGGGAAGGCGGUGAGGGAGUGCAAUGUUGUUGUUUCAAGAUGGGAAACGUUAGCCAGCCUUUGUGUGCGGCAGCAAAAUGGAAACAAAGAUGAGAAACCUGAGUGGUUUUUGUUUUGGGUAUUUUUUUUUAUGUGGAACGAGGACUCUGACUAACUAAGCGGGUCAAACCGCAUGCGCAGUCUUGCCCCCGCCCCCUUUUCAAGACAGGUAAAACCCCUGUAAAAAAAAAUUAAAUCGUGUUUCCUUAUGAAAACCGCUUUGCUUCACGUUUCACAGCUCUCCACCGAGGCACCUGUGACUCUCACUGUGCAGCUCUCAUACCUGAGCAAGGAAAAAAGGGUGUAGAAACAUUAUUAGGAUAUAGCUUAAUGCAUAGCAGAGUCUGCCUUUUAAAAACAUUGAUAACUGUAGGGCAUUAGUUUGAUUGUGCAGGUGGUAAAAACCUCAUAAGCCUGAAUAAACUGACACACUACUGUAGCAUCACCUUGCUCUCAGAUGGAUUUGAGACAGUAGACGCCUGGAUGAGGAGGAUCCUGUGACUGUAACUGUCUGCAACUUUACACAUGGUCCAGACAUUUGUUUCUCUAAUCAGCUGUAAAAUAUAGUUUGUUUUGUUUGCUUUUUUCCCCCUCCCUCUGUCUGCUUUAUUAUUUUACCAGUUUUCUCAUGUUUAGAGAGCUGAAGACCAUUGGUGUAAAGGACACUUUAUAAAUAUCACAUGUUACGUUACAUGGCUGUUAGUGUGUAAAUGAAAGGUUAUUUCAAAUUAUUCAUAUCUAAGUAAGUAAAAGAAAUUUGCAAAACUUGUUUUGCAUGAGGAGAAAACAAGCUGCAAAAGAAAAAUGCAAAUGGAAUGUUGUCUUUGCACCUGCUGACCUACAGCAAGGAUUUUAUUGGUGGAUGACAAAGUGGAGUGAAGUCUUGGACUGCUAGAUUUGACAGGCUGCCCUGGUUCAGUUAUCACAGUGCUGAUGCUGUCCCCAUCGAAGGUACAGUACUGUGAUAACUGAAGGAUGGCUGCCAACUUGACACUAGUGCAGUGGUCAAAGUGGCACAGUCGGCUAACGAGGCAGAAGAACCAAAGAGAAGGUGGACAAGUGUGGGUAUGUAAACGGCAUUUGUUGUGAUAUGCUGAAUAAUAAAGUUUGUAAAGGAUGUCCAAGUGUC